AUGACCUGGAACUGCACUAUACACCAAUCAGGCAUAACAUUAAAACCAUUGACAGGUGACGUGACUAAUCUUGAUUAUCUCGUUACAGUGAUGCCUGUCAAGGGGUGGGGUAUAUUAGGCUGCACGUGAACAGUCAGUUCUCAAAAUUGAUGUGUUGGAAGCAGGAAAAAUGGACAAGUUUAAGAUGCUGCAUCUCAAGAGGCUAUCCAACAAUAAAUUCUCAUUGACACGGGCCACAUUGUGAUGGCUAGACGACUAGGUCAAAGUAUCUCCAAAACGGCAGGUCUUCCGGGGUGUUCCCUGUAUGCAGUGGCUAGUACCUACCAAAAGUGGUCCAAGGAAGGACAACUGGUGACUGGUCAGGAGCACCCAAGGCUCACUGAUGCAUGUUGGCUGAGCAAAGGCUAGCUCGUCCGGUUCAAUUCCACAGAAGAGUUAAUGACUGUGACAGAAAGGUGUCUGAACACACAGUGCCUUGCAGCUUGCUGUGGAUGGCACUGCGUAGCUGCAGACCAGUCAGAGUGUCCAUGCUGACCCCCUGUCUACCACUGAAAGUGCCUACAGUGGGCAUGUGAGCAUCAGAACUGGACCAUGGAGCAAUGGAAGAAGGUGGCCUGGUCUGAUGAAUCACAUGUUUUGUUUUACAUCACGUGGACAGCCAGGUGUGUGUGCGUCACGUACCUAGAGUGAUUUUAAUGUUAUGAUUGACUGGUGUAUGCUUUCACUUGUGUAUAAUUUUCAGAUGUUGCCAUACCUGAGCUAUUUUUCGAGCAAUUUAUACCCACAUAGACCACCUGAGAAAAAACAAUGCCAUCUCACUGAGCUUUACGAGCGAUAUAUGGAGUUCUGCCAUUACUCCUGUCUUUGUUAAGAUUAAUAGCUCAGUGAAUUGACUGCCAUGAAUCAAUUGCACAGCCAUGUGCUUGUGGCACCUUGUUUGCCCAGUUGUUCAAUUGAAAAAAUAUUCCUGUUUUAUCUUGUUGCCUUUUUUUGGUCUGUGAAAAAAAUUUACCUGCUGCUAUUUUGUCUGAAAAUGAGCUUGCUAUUUUUUCAGAAAAUAAUAUUUGAAAAAUAUUUAAGUCAUGCAGCUUGGUCAUGCAAGAUUAGCAUGUGUUCUUUCCAGCUAUAAAAUAAUUUAACCCAUGUGCACUGUUUUUGCCUUAGAAGUGUUGCAGUACCCCUGGUAUCAUCCUUACAUAAUGCUAAUUGGUCCAUCUCUACUUUUUUAUCUGUUUACGGUUAAUGUAGCAGAACAUCUGUGAACAAGUUAAUUCCUGUUCUUACUUGCUUUAUAGUAUAUUCAAUCAUCCUCUUUUCCCUUUCUUGAAUACAAAAAAAUGCAGCAUGUCAUGUUACUAAGAAGCUACAAACUACAAAGCCUUAAAAGUUACUUCCAGUUUAAGAAAACCAGUGAGUAUGGAAAAAGCACAUACUACUUAUUCUAAGUUUGUGUAAAGCUGAAAAUGUAUGUACUGUAUGCAUGGCUUCUUUGGAUUUACACUACAUGCUACUCACUAUGCUAGAGCUACGAAGGUGACCUUGUUUCAUAAUGAAGUCAAACGCAAAGUGUGUAUGUGUGCAUGUCCUCUGAGAACUUUUAUUAUGAAGUGUUGCCCUUUCAUUCCUACAGUCAUAAAUUUUGCUGAGCUGUCUUCUAUUCUUCCACAUUGCAUUAGGUGAUGUUUGUAUACUACACCUUUAAUCCACUGGCUCAUAUUUGAGUUCUGAGAAAAGUCUCAAAUAAUGAAUCGCAUCAAAAUCUUUCUUUCUGUCUCUUGUUUUGACACACUCUCUCUCACUCCCUCUUAGUGAGUCACUUUCUAUCUCUCUAAUUAGUCUCUGUCAAUCUCUUUUGGUGAGUAUAUCCAUCUAUCCAUCUGUCUAUCUAUGCCUCUCUCUCACUCACUCACUCACUCUCUCUCAUUCUCUCCGUCAAUCUUUCUAUCUCUCUCUCUCUCUGUCAGUCAGUUUCUAUUUUCACAAUCUGUCUCUCUUUCUCUCUGUCUAUUUACCUACCUUCCUACUGUGUGUCGGUCUGUGUGAGAGAUCAAUAUAUAGAGAGCCAGAGUGAUGGAGAGACCUUUAUAGUCAGCCUCCAUAUCUCUGUCUCUCUUUAUUUAUCUCUCUCCUCAUCAGCGUCUCUCUCUGUUGGUAUGUCUAUCUGUUUCUCUGUCAUUCUUUCUCUCUCUCUUUCUCUCUAUCUUUCUCUUUUUGUUAUUUAUGUCUCUAUAAUUUGUACUUUGUGGAGUCCUGUAUAGCAUACUACUGCAUUGUGUUUCACCAUGGUCCUGAAGAAAUGACAUUUUGUUCCAAUAUGUACAGUAAUGUCAGUGAUUCCCUCUUGGCUUGCUUGUAUUUCAUGCCUUUUGUAACCGUCCCAGCGCACAUCCUCCCUCUGAACUCUUGGUCUGAAGGAAUUACUGUAAUUUUUCAACAUGUUCAUUUUUGCAAAAGACUUUGCAAUGAGCAAAGCUAGGUGUGACUCGAUCAGGUUAAAGUCUGUAGUACUUGACACGUCCAACUUGAACGUCCAAGUCGGACGCUUUGGGUCACUCACUAGAUAAGAGUGUUUCUUUUUUUUUUUUUUUUUUCCCCUUCUAAACUACUGAGCACGUCUGGGAAAUGAAAAUCCUACACAUGUUUAAACCCUUUAGAAACUUGCAGCGGUGGCUAUUACACUAUGUACCAGAUACCACCAGAAUGCUUCGGUAUCCAACUUCACCACGUUGUAACUGAGCCGCCUUCCCUGCUUUUUAAGGUCACUUCCCCUCUCUGAACCCCUGCGUCUUGCUUUCAACAGCUUCACAUUUCCUGAAUGCCAGUGUUUAACUCCUGUAUGGCUGCUGAUCAGUCUAAACCCAGCGGCCUGAACGUACUUGGGUGAAGCUUCUCAUUGGCUGGGAAGCAUGAGGUGUUUGUUAAUGUCACAGGGUAAAGUCUGAAAAGCUUGACAUACAACGUGUUGAACGUUAAAGUUCAAAGUCUUGAUUAACUCACCAUGGAGUUGAGAACAUAGCUUUUUUCUCUUUUUUUUUGAGAAAAUGCUGUACAUCAGUAACAAGUGAUUUAUUCUAAAAUGGGUGAAGCAUACUCUUUGUAGUUUUGAUUUCUUUGUAAAUACUUAUUAAAUAAAUUUACUCUCAUUAAUUUAAUGCAGUAUCAAUAGCCAUACUGUAUAUUUUUGCCCGAGAAUGAUUAAUUCUAUGUUAUUUUUCACAGGUUGAACGGAAACAAAGUUGUACACUUAAGGAAUUUGUAUGGAAAUGCUAAUCUAUCCAUUACGCACGCAGCAAAUCAGGCAUUACCUUCGGCACACAAAGGAACCCAACACAGCUCUAUUCUUUAACUUAACCUUAGUUUAUCUAUCAUUAAUUUUUCAGUUGUUUCAUCACACUGUGCCGUCUCUACAGCUUGAAGUACAGGUUUAUGUCCAUAAUACAAAAAUGUCUCAUUUAUAACAUUUACAUCAUCUCAAUCUAGAAAAUAACUCCUAUAAAGGUUGUAGCAUUUCUUGAAAAUGUGCCAUUGAAAUCUCCUUUCUGAUUGGUCAAAACAAACUUUUUACAACAGGAGCUAUGACAAUAGUUCCAGCUGUAGAACAAAUCACAGGUAAAUAUUAAUGCACUCAUUUCUAAUGUUAUUGUUUCUAUAGUAACAGCUCAUUCACAAUGACUUGUUUGGUGGAUAUGGUGGUGCCAUAUAAUCUAAGCCUAAAAAUUAAACAGAUUUAAAAUAUAAUAACUGAUAUGGAGAUUAUUUAACAUUCAUGGAAGAAGUGUUUCUAUAACGUGACAAUCCGGUGUUUUUUGUUUCUUUUCUGAAAGGGAAACCCUUGUUGUAAAGCUCUACAUAAAGCCUUUUGGGUGCUAGAUGGAACUUUUUACCUUGGAUGCUACUGGGUUUUUUUUUUUUUUUU